CUGCUCUAGAACUAGGUAAGUGCUAUUCCCUUCAUCUUUACGCCUUAUGCAGCUGAGACGUAGUCAUUGUAGCAUAGAUCACUUUCUACAAAAUCAUCAAAUAGACAGAAUUUGAAUUAGGCAAAAUUGGAAAUAAAUUAUAGAUGUUGAUGAUUUGGCCUGUGUUUUGGUGUAUGUUUCAAAAGCUGUGGAAAAUUUGGAAGGUAUUGUACAGGCUAUAUAUCAAGAAUAAGCAAGAUUGUGAUUUUUUGAAAGUCUAUCGUCUGUAGAUUCAACCAAUACUCGUAUGUGAUAACGGCGCGGUAGUGGUAGAUUGGUGUGGCUUAUCGCCUCCUGACCAUUUCCGACCACUGUUAUAAAUUUUUUAUAAUUAGAAAAUUAUAAUUUNUUSAGCUGAYGAAAAGUUCAAUG
rnacentral:rRNA from 1 species